rnacentral:sRNA from 1 species
GCUUUUCUCUACUUGUGUCACUAACGGACCGUUUAUCAUGAGCAGCAACUCGGCCUCUGCAGCAAACGGAAAUGACAGCAAGAAGUUCAAAGGUGACAGCAGAAGCGCCGGCGUCCCCUCUAGAGUGAUCCACAUCCGGAAGCUCCCCAUCGACGUCACAGAAGGGGAAGUCAUCUCCCUGGGGCUGCCCUUUGGGAAGGUCACCAACCUCCUGAUGCUGAAGGGGAAAAACCAGGUACCUGAGCCGCGUUUCUCCGGGGCGCUCGCACCGCGCAGGCGGGGAGGAGGAGGGCCCAGCGCUCACUGCCUCCCCCACAGGCCUUCAUCGAGAUGAACACGGAGGAGGCUGCCAACACCAUGGUCAACUACUACACCUCGGUGACACCCGUGCUGCGCGGCCAGCCCAUCUACAUCCAGUUCUCCAACCACAAGGAGCUGAAGACCGACAGCUCCCCCAACCAGGCGGUGCGUGGCCCUGUGGCGGACCCCAGCAGCCCGGGGACCUCAGGGGUGGGUCCAGCCGCAGGGGCCAGGGACUCACGGCUGUGUCUCCCACAGCGGGCCCAGGCGGCCCUGCAGGCUGUGAACUCGGUCCAGUCGGGGAACCUGGCCUUGGCUGCCUCGGCGGCGGCCGUGGACGCAGGGAUGGCGAUGGCGGGGCAGAGCCCCGUGCUCAGGAUCAUCGUGGAGAACCUCUUCUACCCUGUGACCCUGGAUGUGCUGCACCAGAUUUUCUCCAAGUUUGGCACAGUGUUGAAAAUUAUCACCUUCACCAAGAACAACCAGUUCCAGGCCCUGCUGCAGUAUGCGGACCCCGUGAGCGCCCAGCACGCCAAGCUGGUGAGUGGGGCUCCCAGGACGGCGCCCGCCCUGGCCCUGGCCCUGGCCCAGCCACGUCUCACGUUCCCUCUCCCCUCAGUCGCUGGACGGGCAGAACAUCUACAACGCCUGCUGCACGCUGCGCAUCGACUUUUCCAAGCUCACCAGCCUCAACGUCAAGUACAACAAUGACAAGAGCCGCGACUACACGCGCCCAGACCUGCCCUCCGGAGACAGCCAGCCCUCGCUGGACCAGACCAUGGCCGCGGCCUUCGCCUCUCCGUAUGCAGGAGCUGGUUUCCCUCCCACCUUUGCCAUUCCUCAAGCUGCAGGUAUUCAAACGCUUGGUCUUGGUUCCCCAGCGACUGCAUGCCCACACCACCUUCCCAGGCAGCUCCGCAUCCACGGCGGCAGCCUGGGCGGACUGGGCACUCGAGUGCCAGGUCAGGGGCCCUUCCCGGGAGAGGGGACGCCACGUCCACAGAGCAGGGCAGUGGUAGGACAGGGCUGCGGAGGCCCACGCGUGGACGGCGCCAGCCAGAAGCCACUAACCGCACAGUCUUUGUGGUCUGGUUCCCUUCAAGCACCUCCGGGCGAGCGCGAGGACCGCCAGUGGUUGGAGGGAUGUGUCCCUAGUAGUUGAAUUUGAGUGGCCUGGUAAGCGCGUGGCCCGAGGCUGAGGAGCAUGACCGGCGGCGGGACGUGUGUGCGUGGCCGUCCUCCUGCUUCCCUUCUGGGACCGGGGCCCGGCCGCCCGAGUGCUGGCCGUGGACGGAGCAGCGCCGCCCCGCGGCCG